GCGAUAAGCGCCGGUAAGGUGAUAUGAACCGUUAUAACCGGCGAUUUCCGAAUGGGGAAACCCAGUGUGAUUCGUCACACUAUCAUUAACUGAAUCCAUAGGUUAAUGAGGCGAACCGGGGGAACUGAAACAUCUAAGUACCCCGAGGAAAAGAAAUCAACCGAGAUUCCCCCAGUAGCGGCGAGCGAACGGGGAGGAGCCCAGAGCCUGAAUCAGCAUGUGUGUUAGUGGAAGCGUCUGGAAAGGCGCGCGAUACAGGGUGACAGCCCCGUACACAAAAGCGCAUGUGCUGUGAGCUCGAUGAGUAGGGCGGGACACGUGGUAUCCUGUCUGAAUAUGGGGGGACCAUCCUCCAAGGCUAAAUACUCCUGACUGACCGAUAGUGAACCAGUACCGUGAGGGAAAGGCGAAAAGAACCCCGGCGAGGGGAGUGAAAAAGAACCUGAAACCGUGUACGUACAAGCAGUGGGAGCACCCUUCGG
rnacentral:rRNA from 1 species